rnacentral:rRNA from 1 species
UAGGGAAUCUUCCGCAAUGGACGCAAGUCUGAUGGAGCAACGCCGCGUGAGUGAAGAAGGUUUUCGGAUCGUAAAACUCUGUUGUUAGAGAAGAACACGAGUGAGAGUAACUGUUCAUUCGAUGACGGUAUCUAACCAGCAAGUCACGGCUAACUACGUGCCAG